GAGACUGCGCGGAAAAAAAGUGCUGCUCGGAUAAGCCGCUGGGAAAGGACUAGUGGAGAAGGCGAGGAAGCGCGCUACCCGUGAGGCGACUCCAGCGAUAAACAGAGGUGGAGAGAAACAGAUCUUAUUUUGGUCAUCGCUCCUGCACACUUACUGGUUGCAGUGUCCAGCUCAGAGGUCAGGCAGAGGACAAGUGGUGACAGGACAGGAGUGGAAACUGGACCUUCUCCUGAGUGUUGGAUGCCCAGCUCUGCGACGCGGCCCUGACUAAGCAGCGAGACGAGAGAGAGAGAGAGAGAGAGAGAGAGAGAGAGAGAUGGGAC